rnacentral:lncRNA from 1 species
AAAAAUUUUCAGUUAUACGUCCUACAAGGUUGGGCAAAAUCCGUGAAAAACAAUCAACAAAGGUUUAGUACCAUGGUAGAUAUUCAAUUUGGUACAAUAGCAUUGAGAUUGGUUUAUGCCCAUAUUGCAGAAUACAGCUCAUUUAAGUUUGGAAGAUAUGUGUAAUGCCGCUUUGCCACCACCUCUGGAGCCAUUGUAUUCAAUUGCUAGAGAUAGA